rnacentral:rRNA from 1 species
UGUAAAGUUCAAGCUCCGAUUUGAGGGCGACCCGCGAAUGGCUCAUUAAAUCAGUCAUAAUCUACUUGAUUGUUUAAAGGUUAUAUGGAUAACUGUGGUAAUUCUAGAGCUAAUACAUGAACAAAUGGGGCGACUCUUUCACGAGAGAAGCUCUGCGUUUAUUAGACUAAGACCAAUGAUUGUGGCAACACAAUCUACAUUUAAGGUGACUCUGAGUAAAUAAUGGGUGAAAGCCCAUGUUGCUGACCUGACAUCCCAAAAGGCUACUUGUAGUCUGUCAGGCAAAUCAAUCGAGUGUCUGCUCUAUCAACUGUGGAUGGUAGGAUAAUUGCCUACCAUGGUGAUGACGGGUAACGGGGAGUUAGGGCUCGACUCCGGAGAACAAGCCUGAGAAACGGCUAGUAGGACUAAGGUCUGCAGCAGGCGCGAAACUUACACAAUGCUAGAUUAUAUAUAGCGAUGUAGUGAAGAUAAAUAACGAUGUAUUGGUCUUUUAACAGACUAGUACAAUUGGAAUGAGACGACUUUAAAUAAGUUAGUCGAGUAACAAAUGGAGGGCAAGUCUGGUGCCAGCAGCCGCGGUAAUUCCAGCUCCAUUAGCAUACAUUAAAGUUGUUGCGGUUAAAAAGCUCGUAGUUGAAUUUCUGGCGAUUUCCCAUGAGUGGCAUCCGUUUAAGGGUGCUCUUCGGAGUUACCUGGUUGUCUUACUUCACUAGGAAAUCGUUGUUUCGUCACUUAAUCGAGUGCGAAGCGGGGUGGGUCUUUUAAGACUUCGGUCGAAAGUUCCACCAAGUUUACCUUGAGAAAAUUAGAGUGCUCAGAGCAGGCAGUUGGGGUGUAAAAGCUCCUUUAUGCUUGAAUAAUGUUGCAUGGAAUAAUAGAAUACGGCCUCGGUUCUAUUCUGUUGGUCUUAUAGAACAACAAACAAGUUGGUUGAGGCAACAAACGGUUAUAUGGUGAUUGUGGUUGAAGGCUCUGUUAAAGUUUGGCUUGUUGUCUGGGGCCUAAAAAUCUCAGUACCUUCCUGCUUUAGCAUCUUUCCUCCGCUAAGCAAUCCCAUUUAACUAGCCAACAUCCAACUGAGGCAAUGGUUAAAAGAAAUAGUCGCGGCGGCAUCAGUACUGCAUCGUGAGAGGUGAAAUUCUUAGACCGAUGCAAGACUAACUGAAGCGAAAGCGUUUGCCGAGGAUAUUUUCAUUAAUCAAGAACGAAAGUUAGAGGUUCGAAGGCGAUCAGAUACCGCCCUAGUUCUAACCAUAAACGUUGCCAACUAGCAAUUGGGUUGCGAUUCCUUUAAUUGAAGACGUAAAAAUCUUCAAUCAUUAUGAUCCACCCAGCGGCUCUCGUAGGGAAACCAAAGUGUUUGGGUUCCGGGGGAAGUAUGAUUGCAAAGUUGAAACUUAAAGGAAUUGACGGAAGGGCACCACCAGGAGUGGAGCCUGCGGCUUAAUUUGACUCAACACGGGGAAACUUACUAGAUUAGAACUCUGGAAUGAUUGACAGAUUGAUAGCUCUUUCUUGAUUCAGAGGAUGGUGGUGCAUGGCCGUUCUUGAUUCGUAUUCCGAAACGUCUGCUUAAUUGCGAUAACGAGUGAGACCUCUUCCAACUAACUAGUCACUUGGUGCGCUGUGGGACGCAAAAGUUUUGCUAGGAUCAUCGAGUCGUAGGGUAAAACUGAAAGCUCGACCCUAGUAAAAUGUCCUCUGCUCGCCGGUGGACUUCUUAGAGGGAUAAACGGUGUUUUAGCCGUAAGAAACGAG